rnacentral:rRNA from 1 species
UACAGAGACUGCAAGCGUUAUUCGGAUUCACUGGGCGUAAAGGGUGCGCAGGCGGCCAAGUGUGUGAGGCGUGAAAGCCCGGGGCUUAACCCCGGAAUUGCACCUCAAACUACAUGGCUAGAGCAUUGGAGAGGGUAGCAGAAUUCAUGGUGUAGCAGUGAAAUGCGUAGAUAUCAUGAGGAAUACCAGAGGCGAAGGCGGCUACCAGGACAAUUGCUGACGCUCAGGCACGAAAGCGUGGGGAGCAAAAGGG